AAUUGAAUAUUAUUCAUCAGGAAAAUUCCAGGCACUUUGGAACAUUUUUACGAGCAACUCCAUGAGGUGCAAUGUGGAACAUCAAGUCUACUUCCAGUGCCCCAAAUGAAGAAAUCCAGAUAAUAAUCCGAAAUUGGUUUUGAUUCUCCAAAGACCGUGAUGGAGGUUGAGAAAAACGGAGAAAUGAUCCAGCACCCAAUCACAUGUAACUAGGCCAAGUGCCAAUAAGUAAAUUUUUAGAGAAUCUCAAACAUCCAUAAUCUUUUUUGUAAUAAUUUUACAAUAUACAGACUUUUCAUGCAUUUAA